rnacentral:rRNA from 1 species
AAUAGAUACCCUGGUAGUCCACGCCGUAAACGAUGGAUGCUAGCUGUUAUGCGUAUCGACCCGUGUAGUAGCGAAGCUAACGCGUUAAGCAUCCCGCCUGGGGAGUACGAACGCAAGUUUAAAACUCAAAGGAAUUGACGGGGGACCCGCACAAGCGGUGGAGCGUGUUCUUUAAUUCGAGGCUAAGCGAAGAACCUUACCAGGGCUUGACAUCCUUGGAAUUUCUCCGAACGGAGAGAGUACUUUAUUGGACCAAGUGACAGGUGCUGCAUGGCCGUCGUCGGCUCGUGUCGUGAGAUGUUUGGUUAAGUCCAUUAACGAGCGCAACCCUUAUGAAUAGUUGUAUUUUUCUAUUCAGACUGCCCCGGUAACGGGGAGGAAGGGGGGGAUGAUGUCAGGUCAGUAUUGGCCCUUACGCCCUGGGCUAGAAACGCGCUACAAUGGCCGGUACAAUGCGCUGCCAACCCGCGAGGGGGAGCAAAUCGCAUCAAAGCCGGUCCCAGUUCGGAUAAGAGGCUGAAACUCGCCUCUUUGAAGCCGGAAUCGCUAGUAAUCGU